AUUGAACGCUAGCGAUAGGCUUAACACAUGCAAGUCGAGGGCCCGGCGCACGGGUGCGUAACGCGUAUGCACCUUGCCUCACAGGGGGGGAUAACCCGUCGAAAGACGGACUAAUACCGCGUACUGUGCGAUAGGCAUGCGUCCCAUUAGCUAGUUGGUGAGGUAACGGCUCACCAAGGCAACGAUGGGUAGGGGAACUGAGAGGUUGCACCCCCACGAUUGUACUGAGGCCCGGACCAGACUCCUACGGGAGGCAGCAGUGAGGAAGAUUGGUCAAUGGGCGAGAGCCUGAACCAGCCAAGUCGCGUGAAGGAUGACUGGCUAUGGAUUGUAAACUUCUUUUGUAGGGGAAUAUGUACCCUACGAAUAAGCAUCGGCUAACUCCGUGCCAGCAGCCGCGGUAAUAC
rnacentral:rRNA from 1 species